rnacentral:rRNA from 1 species
GACGGGAGCUUGCUCCCUUAGGUCAGCGGCGGACGGGUGAGUAACACGUGGGUAACCUGCCUGUAAGACUGGGAUAACUCCGGGAAACCGGGGCUAAUACCGGAUGCUUGAUUGAACCGCAUGGUUCAAUCAUAAAAGGUGGCUUUUAGCUACCACUUGCAGAUGGACCCGCGGCGCAUGAGCUAGUUGGUGAGGUAACGGCUCACCAAGGCGACGAUGCGUAGCCGACCUGAGAGGGUGAUCGGCCACACUGGGACUGAGACACGGCCCAGACUCCUACGGGAGGCAGCAGUAGGGAAUCUUCCGCAAUGGACGAAAGUCUGACGGAGCAACGCCGCGUGAGUGAUGAAGGUUUUCGGAUCGUAAAACUCUGUUGUUAGGGAAGAACAAGUACCGUUCGAAUAGGGCGGUACCUUGACGGUACCUAACCAGAAAGCCACGGCUAACUACGUGCCAGCAGCCGCGGUAAUACGUAGGUGGCAAGCGUUGUCCGGAAUUAUUGGGCGUAAAGCGCGCGCAGGCGGUUUCUUAAGUCUGAUGUGAAGCCCCCGGCUCAACCGGGGAGGGUCAUUGGAACUGGGGACUUGAGUGCAGAAGAGGAGAGUGGAUUCCACGUGUAGCGGUGAAAUGCGUAGAGAUGUGGAGGAACACCAGUGGCGAAGGCGACUCUCUGGUCUGUA